rnacentral:misc_RNA from 1 species
ACUGUUCUAGCACCCCUGUUUGGCCGUACUCCAAACCUUCAAGCAGCUGCUGAAGCUGAGAAGCUUUUAUCCAAUUCACUUGCAAAAAUAGAGUCGUUUUGGCUGAAGGGGAAUGGGAAGUUUUUGUUAGGUGGCUUUAAACCAUCCAUAGCUGAUCUUAGCCUGGUUUGUGAAAUUAUGCAACUAGAGCUUUUGGACGAGGAGGAUCGCAAUCGUAUUCUGGGUCCGCACCAGAAAGUGAGGGAGUGGGUUGAGAAUACAAGAAAUGCUACAAACCCGCAUUUUGACGAGG